ACGUAGGAGGCAAACGUUAUCCGGAUUUACUGGGCGUAAAGGGCGUGUAGGUGGCUAUGCAAGUCGGGUGUGAAAGCUCCGGGCUUAACUGGGGGGGGGCGUUCGAAACUGCGUGGCUAGAGUACAGGAGAGGAAAGCGGAAUUCCGAGUGUAGCGGUGAAAUGCGUAGAUAUUAGGAGGAACACCAGUGGCGAAGGCGGCUUCCUGGACUGUACCUGACACUGAGACACGAAAGCGUGGGGAGCAAACAG
rnacentral:rRNA from 1 species